CAGCCGCCACGGGAAUACGUAGGUGGCAAGCGUUGUCCGGAAUUAUUGGGCGUAAAGGGCUCGCAGGCGGUUUCUUAAGUCUGAUGUGAAAGCCCCCGGCUCAACCGGGGAGGGCCAUUGGAAACUGGGAAACUUGAGUGCAGAAGAGGAGAGUGGAAUUCCACGUGUAGCGGUGAAAUGCGUAGAGAUGUGGAGGAACACCAGUGGCGAAGGCGACUCUCUGGUCUGUAACUGACGCUGAGGAGCGAAAGCGUGGGGAGCGAACAGGAUUAGAUACCCCCGUAGUCCCUGUCUCUUAUAC
rnacentral:rRNA from 1 species